rnacentral:rRNA from 1 species
UACAGAGGGUGCAAGCGUUAAUCGGAUUUACUGGGCGUAAAGCGUGCGUAGGCGGUUCGUUAAGUCGGUUGUGAAAUCCCUGGGCUUAACCUGGGAACUGCAGUCGAUACUGAUGAACUAGAGUGCGGUAGAGGGUGGCGGAACUCCGGGUGUAGCGGUGAAAUGCGUAGAUAUCGGGAGGAACACCAGUGGCGAAGGCGACUACCUGGCCUGUUCUUGACGCUGAGGCGCGAAAGCUAGGGGAGCAAACGGGG